GUAUAAACGAUGAUUGGAAAAGUAAUACUUAAAACUGUAUUAAGCGAUUCUAGGGUGGUGCGAGCUAGAUUAUAAGAUAAGUAUGAAUAACACCAUGAGUGAUGGAAGAAUUUAGUAGACCCAUCCGUAUUCCUGCGUUAAAGGAUCGAGUGCUAGUUAAUCUAGAACUAAGGUGGUACCACGGAAUAUUUUCGUCCUUAAA
rnacentral:ncRNA from 1 species